rnacentral:rRNA from 1 species
CUACGUAGGGUGCGAGCGUUGUCCGGAAUUACUGGGCGUAAAGAGCUCGUAGGUGGUUUGUCGCGUCGUCUGUGAAAUUCCGGGGCUUAACUCCGGGCGUGCAGGCGAUACGGGCAUAACUUGAGUACUGUAGGGGAGACUGGAAUUCCUGGUGUAGCGGUGAAAUGCGCAGAUAUCAGGAGGAACACCGGUGGCGAAGGGGGGUCUCUGGGCAGUAACUGACGCUGAGGAGCGAAAGCAUGGGUAGCGAACAGGAUUAGAUAGCCUGGUAGUCCAUGCCGUAAACGGUGGGCGCUAGGUGUAGGGGUCUUCCACGACUUCUGUGCCGUAGCUAACGCAUUAAGCGCCCCGCCUGGGGAGUACGGCCGCAAGGCUAAAACUCAAAUGAAUUGACGGGG